ACCAAUUUGAAUGUACAGAAGAAAUUGUUGGUUUAUGAUGUUCUGUGUAGGUUUAGGAUUGUUGGUGAAGUUUUUCAUUGAUUAUUAUUGAUUGAUGAAAAUGGUUUCGGUUAGUCAGUUACACACCUUCUUACACCUCUCUCUUACACACUUGUUAGUCACGUUAUACAUCAUCACGACAAAAAAUUGUAGUGAAAUAAAAAUGAAAAGUUACUCAGAAAGUUUAACAGUGGGCUAACCUGCGGAUUUUCGUUCAAUUUUUCUAAAAUGAUUGAUUUAUCAACCUACGCAAAUCCCAAAUAGAUUAGCUGGAAAUUAGCGUUUGUUAACUUCGUUCGUGGUAUGCAGUACGUUAGUGAAUGUAGGUACACCUAACCUAUGCAAGUCACCUACAUAAUAAUGUUGAAAGUGAAACUGAACAGAAAUGGAAGGAACUCUUUGGAAGCAUAAACAGAUUGCUAGUAAAAAUGAAACAAUAAAUUAAAUUAUUGCUGCUGGAAGAAUUAAAUUUAGUGAGUGGGGAUUGAGUUACAGACAAAUUCAACACAAAUCGGCCCGUGUUUCUGCCUGAAAGGCAAAAUAACGCUUGAAAGUUAUUCAGAUUAAAAUUACACUAGUAAUAUGCUAAGAAAGAAGACUCAAGGUAGAAUUCAAAUAGUGGUUUAGUUUCUAGCUUCCUCUUUAAAGUAUUUGAAUUUUGGCUAAUUUGGCAACCAAUAUUCUGUAGGACUGGCUUGCUGACUUUCUCUAUUAAAAUGUCUGCCAGAAACAACCUGUGCUGUUCGCAAGUAAAACAGUCACUCUGUGAGACAGGAACUUGCAAAAUUUUAUGAAUCACUGCUAGUGGUGAAGAGUCAGUCCGAAGGAAAGGUAUUAUGUUCAAAAUAAACUGUGUUACUGCAGCUAUAACAGAUAUAAACGGUGUUGAUGGAUAUCUCAGAGAACCUUUGUCAUGUAGAUAUAUCAGAUCAAGUAGUUUAUUACUAGUUGCAGGAGUUGAUAUGUCUGUAAGGCAUUCAAUACAGCCAGCUAUACGUUCUUCUAUUGUCCUUACAACAUAUCCGGCUAUCCAUGCAAUAGCAGCUGAUUCACAGUUUUCAGGAUGGCACUUUCUUUGCAAAAAAGGCUUCAUCAUGUGCACCAUCAACUUUCUUCAGAUUAAUGUCAACUGUAGACCAACUAGAGAAAAUAUGUUUUGAAGACUGUGCCACAUCUUCAUUUUUGAAUUUGUUUAAUAGCGUACUCUGCCGCUCUGGCAUCAGUCAUGUCAUUAGAGCCUCCUCUGAGGCGAAUGCUGCUGAAAAACGAUUCUAUUGGGUCAGAACUGAACCUCCUAGUCAGUACAUAGUAGAAUCCAUUUUGUAAUAGGUAGUUAAUGCACUCAAAAGUUGCUACACUGGUGAAAAUUAAAGCUUCCGCUGUUUCGUCACUUAGUCCUUUCAGAUUUUGCUUUUUAGAACAUUCCUGGAUGCUUUGAAUAUACAAGGGGAACUCAUUCUUCAACCAAGUCAGUCGCUCGUCGGAAACUUUUCUGUAUGGGGCGGUAUCAGGAUCCAACUGAUGUAUGUGCUGUAAUGGAUCACUAACAUCAUGUAUUUUGAAAAAUCUAUGCAUCAUUUCCAUAAAUUUAAUAGUAGAACCAGCCUUAGAAAACUCAUAAUUACUAGUUUUAUGUUUCUGCAGCCAUCUCAUCUACUAUAAGAGAUACAAGACGCUCUUUUGGAUCCUGAUAUUUGGCUGCCUCAACUGAAAGUCUCUGUCGUAUGAGCUGUGUAAUACCAAUGCUUGGACAAGCUACAUAUUUUGCAAUGGUAGAACGGCAGGGAGCUCGAAUAAAAAGUCGUCGACCCAGAUCAUAGCCCUUUGGUGAAGCAAAGCGCCAAGCAACGCAAUAUCUUAGUGUAGUUUCUGACCACCUAGGACGUUUUAAAUUGUAAUUUGCUAUUUGUUCUAAAAUAAAUAUAGCUGUGAUGUCAUUUU